AUGAAUCAAAAAAGAGAAAAAAUAAAAGAAAAAACCCUUUUGUACUUUUUCUUGGCGAAAGAUCAAAAGUAAAAGUACGCAUCAGAGAUUCUGAUUUCCUUAAAAUGCAAUUUCACCCUUCUCCGCGAAAAAGGAGUUAGAUAUAUCAGUCUUAUCAUCACUUGCAACAAAAAAAGUACCCAAAAAAACCGAUAAAUCUCACUUACAUAGCUGAACAAUUACAAUU
rnacentral:lncRNA from 1 species